rnacentral:rRNA from 1 species
CAGAGGGUGCAAGCGUUGUUCGGAAUUAUUGGGCGUAAAGGGAGUGUAGGCGGCUAGGAAAGUCUUCUGUGAAAUCUACGGGCUCAGCCUGUAACGUGCAGAGGAAACUAUCUGGCUAGAGUGUCGGAGAGGAUAGGGGAAUACCCGGUGUAGAGGUGAAAUUCGUAGAGAUCGGGUGGAACACCAGUGGCGAAGGCGCCUGUCUGGCUGACAACUGACGCUGAGACUCGAAAGCAUGGGGAGCAAACAGGAUUAGAUACCCUGGUAGUCCAUGCCGUAAACGAUGAUAACUAGAUGUGUGAGGUAUUGACCCCUUACGUGUCGAAGCCAACGCGAUAAGUUAUCCGCCUGGGGAGUACGGUCGCAAAGAUUA